ensembl:lncRNA
UGCUUUUUUGACCUCUGGCUUUAAGGUAUCCUCCCACUUUUCCAUCCCACAAUCUUCAGCCCUUUCUGGGCAUAGCAGCCUUUGGGGAAUGAUUUCCUGUACUGCCUUUAUCUCAUUUUGUGAAAUGAACUUCUGCAAAGAAGCUGGAAGGGAAGGAGAAGAGGAGGGAUUAUCAUGCAGGCACAGGGAGAGGGGCCUAGAGAAGAGCUCAUAGAUUAUCUCCCUCCUAAAAAAUGCAACCAGAAUCAUCCACAAAGUAUCGGCUCAAAAACAUUCAGGGGAAGAAAGGAAUCGGUAUUGGGGAGGUUGGAGCGGAAGGAGCCAAGGUGCCCAGAAUGUAUCCUGUGAAGGCUGCAAGGAGCAGAUAAGGGCAGCCCCAGAGGCAGGGAGCACAGGGAGCAGGGGAGGGUGAGGCGGGAACUGCAGAUCCACCUAUAGAACCUGAGAGAGUGGGGCUCUCUGGCCAGGAAUGGGGGAGCUAGCUGUGAAAUGGCUAAGCCCGGGAACCCUGUACCAAACUCCAAGAAUGCCUGGCUCCCUUCAACAGCCUGUAAAUCUGCCCCUAACAAGGAUGAAAUUAAAGAAAUGAAUCUGGGCAAAUAGAAAAUUAAGGAGAACUGGAGACAGCCAGCUGCUGUGGAGAGCAGGGAUCAGGGAGGUGCAGGAGGAGGAUUCCGAAAUGAGUCUCAGAGAUCAGGAAAAUCUUAAGUAAUGGUUUGAGGGGCUGGAAGAAAUGGAGAACAGGAGACUCCCAGCAUGUUGUGGGAGCCAGCCAACCAGAGCUCAGGGACCCAGAAUGAAAGGGCAGAUUAGCACAGUGAUUCUCAAACCACAGUCCCCUGAUGGGGAGUGAGAGGGGAGGCUGAGACAAAACCUGUUAGCUAUGCAGAUUCCAGGGCCUCACUCUAGACCUAGUGAAUCAGAAACUGGGGGAAGAGCCCAGCAGUCUGAGAUUCUGAAGCAAGUUCAGGUUUGAGAACCACUGGCUUAGUGGAAGGGGCUGCUAAUUGGUAUAAAAUGUCACCCAUGGUCUAUUCUUUUGUCUCCAGGAGAAGUAGGUCUUAGGCCCCUUAAGGAAAACUAAGGUUCCCGGGGUCGUGAGUGGAUCUAUCUACAGAGCUGGCUCCAGUUGACUCCAGAAUGGCUCUUGAAACAAAUAUGAAGCAAAGGACAA